rnacentral:sRNA from 1 species
AUUUUAUAAAUAUUGAUUCAAAUACAUCCACCAUAUAACCCAAUUCCAAAAUAAAACCCGUUCUUUAAUUUCUUUAUCCGUCUCGUUAUUUUUUUUUCAAAGUAGUAAUUUUUAAAUUUUAAGAAUUAUUUUUUAUAUAUAAAAGUUUUGCAAAUUGUAUCAUUCUCUAAUAUA